CUACCACUUCAGCUGAAUCGUUACUGGCCGUACAUUCAGUAAGGGUCAUCUGUCAGGAGAUAUUUAAGUAGACUGGGUAAUAUUCCCCAUGUUUCAUACUUCCAGAAACCGUCAUUUUUCUACUUGCAUAUUUUAUGUUGAACAACCAAAACACCAGAGUACCUGACUGUUCCGUUAUAAGGCCAUUAAGCUCUCGCAUGAUAUCUAUGAAAAUAUCAGACAAGCAACUAGAAAUUCAAGAGUUGGGAAAAUAUUUUAUUUA